GAUGAACGCUAGCGGCAGGCCUAAUACAUGCAAGUCGAACGAGAUUGAGGAGCUUGCUCUUCAUGAAAGUGGCGCACGGGUGCGUAACGCGUAUGCAACCUACCUUAAUCAGGGGGAUAGCCUCUCGAAAGAGAGAUUAACACCGCAUAACAUUAUUAUAUGGCAUCAUAUGAUAAUCAAAUAUUUAUAGGAUUAAGAUGGGCAUGCGUGACAUUAGUGAGUUGGCGGGGUAACGGCCCACCAAGACGAUGAUGUCUAGGGGAUCUGAGAGGAUGGCUCCCCACACUGGUACUGAGACACGGACCAGACUCCUACGGGAGGCAGCAGUAAGGAAUAUUGGUCAAUGGGCGCAAGCCUGAACCAGCCAUGCCGCGUGCAGGAAGACGGCCCUACGGGUUGUAAACUGCUUUUAUACUGGAAUAAACCUACUUACGUGUAAGUAGCUGAAUGUACAGUAAGAAUAAGGAUCGGCUAACUCCGUGCCAGCCGCCGCCGUAA
rnacentral:rRNA from 1 species